CGGUGAAUACGUUCCCGGGCCUUGUACACACCGCCCGUCACACCAUGGGAGUCGAUUGGUCCCGAAGUGCGUGAGCUAACCUGCAAGGGAGGUAGCGUCCUACGGACUGGUCGGUGACUGGGGUGAAGUCGUAACAAGGUAGCCGUAGGAGAACCUGCGGCUGGAUCACCUCCUUU
rnacentral:ncRNA from 1 species